UCGGCAAGCACUUUGCCAGCCUCGAGGAU
rnacentral:sRNA from 1 species